CAGAAACACCCUCCCAGACACACCUGGGACGAUGUUUGACCAAAUAUCUGGACACGUUGUAGCUCAGUCAAGUUGACCCAGAAGAUUAACCAUCACAUCUGCCUGAUAAUAAGCGUGGCCCCAAAACAAUGUUCUAGAACCAGACCAAUCAGAUUAGCAUUCCCUCCUUCUGUGGGGCGGAGCAAAGAAGGAGAACAGGCCAAAUGGGUGGAAUUUCUCUUCCUCGUGUUCAUGAUUCUUUCCCCUCUCUAGAUUUCUUUGAGGACAAGAUGAGUAGCAUUUUCAUUUCACUUUCAUAGAAACUAGCACACUGUCCAUACAGAAGUGGGCUUCAGUGAGUGUUUAUUGGAUGAAGAGAAUCACUGUUCCCAACAUAAAAAACAUCAGUCAGCAAUGACUGACACCAGGAAAAGUGCUGACUGACCAUAUAGGAACUUCGCUUCCUGAGAAAUGCUUUUCCAUAUGUUGAAAUGCCUUUUGAUGGUCGGGAGAUAAGUAGCUGCACAUUUCGCUCUGAGAGAUUGCUCGAACGUGGCGUGCAGAGCAGCAUGAGGCCAAGGAUGGACCAGGAAAUACAAAGAAAAUGGAAAAGCUGCCAGCAGUAUCCUGGAGAAAUUCGAUCAUGGCCAGCCAGAGAUGAGUCUAAAUGCAGCAAGAAUGCAGAACACUGCUGGGUUUGCUGGGGUGGCAAGGAGACCCUUUUGCUGAAACCUAAUGAGAAAUAGUAGUUUUACUCUGAUAGAUAGAAGUAGAGGGCAUUGCAGGUAGGAAUAAAAAGAAAGGAAAGAGAGAAAGGAAAGAAAAGAAAGAAAAGGAGGAAAAGAAAGGAAAGAAAGAGAGAGAGAGAGAGGGGAGGAAGGAAGGAAGGAAGGAAGGAAGGAAGGAAGGAAGGAAGUAAGGAAGGAAGGAAGGAAGGAAGGAAGGCAGGCCAGCAAUUAGGAGAUGAGAGGAAGUGGGAACUUGGGGAUGACAGAAGGAGUGGAGAACGUAGGAGGGGCAGCCUGCCUGCCCUGGGCACCUCCCUGGCCUGGGCAAGAAUGCAGAUGGAGAUCCUUUUUCUGCAUCGUGUGCACAAGGAAUCUCAGCGUUCUGGAUUCCUGGAUCGGGGUCUGGGAGUUACAAGCUCAAGUUAUGCACAUCCCUUAUGGUGUGGCCAAAAGAAGACUAGGGGUGUAGGAGAGCAAACUAAAGCAUGGAGUAAGACUCAGAGCAGGAGCCAUUAAAGAAUUCUGAACACCAGCAUGAUCUGAUUAGUUGUAAAUGUUAGACGUGUCACUCUUGCAGCUGAGAAGAUGGUUGAUUGAAGGAGGAAAGACUUGAGAGCAGAGAGUGCAGUAAGGCUUCUGUCACUGUGGGGGAGGAGCUUGGAUGAGGAAAAACAGUUAUGGGGAAAAGGUGUUUGCACAAGAGGAAGAACAACGGAGAUGGAAAUGGAAUAAUAGAGACAGAAGACAUUAAGGAUAUAGAGUCAACAGGACUUAGUGAUUUAAAAAUAAUGUGUGAGGGGCGAGGGGACAGAGAAAUCUAGGUUGGCUCCCUGGUUUUAGGCCUCAUCAAGAAGCAGUGCUGACCGAGACAUGGACUGGUAGAGAGAAGAGAUUGAGUUCAGCUCUAGCUUGAUCUGCUUGGUGGAACCUCAUGUGGAGUUGUCUGAAAGGAAGCUGAAUAAAUGAGCUAAGGGCUUGGGUAGCAAUCUGGGCUGGACAUACAGGUUUGGGAACUUCAGCACAAUGGUCAUGGUUGAAGCUAUGUAUGUGAAUGAUAUUGAGUUGGAGAGAAUGUUAGUGAGAUCAGAAAACAGGAUCCAACCCUGAACAAUACCUAAUGAAGAUGGGCAGAGAAAGAGAGAAAAGGGGUGGGUGGAUUGGAGAAAGAGAUCAGCAUAACAAGAGCCUAGAGAUGAAGAAGAAAAGAACACUCAGGCCAGUUAGGCUGUCAAAUGCUGCUGAAAGGUCAGGUCAUAUAAAGGAAUUAUGAAAUGGUUAUUUCAUCAGCUUAAAUGUCACCUCCUCAUAAAGAAUUUUCUUAAACAUUCUAUUCAAGAACAUCCCCCCCCCCUUUCUCUUUCAAAGCACUUGCCCCAAUCUAUAAUUAUAUAUCUAUUUCCAAGUUAAUUUCUCUAAAAUCUGUCUCCCCAACUCGAUUUCUCGCUGCAAUAGACCAGGAGCCAUGCCUAUCUUGUGGCCCUCUCUAUCUUCAGUGCUUAGCUUAGUAUCUGGCACAUAGUAGGUGCCUGCUAAAUAUACAGUGACUUCACUGAGAGUAAUUUCAGUGGGACAGAAGCUGGUUGCAGGGCAUUGAGGAGUAAGCUGAAAGUGAAAAAAAAAGAGAGAAAGAGCGAGAAGACUGCAAUUUCUAGAAAAGGAAAAAAGAAGGCAGAAGCUAGAUGGAGAACAUUAGGCUAAAGAGGAGCUUUUUAUUUUUUGUUAGUUUUUUUUAAUAGAAGAGACUCGGAUCUGUUUACAUCAUGAGCGAAUGGAGUUCAUGGAGCUGAAGAAGCUAGAGACACAAGAGAGAGGCUGGCACGCAGAUUGGCAGGGGACAGGAGAAGGGACAGUUCUGUCAUGGGCAGCCAUGGAGGAGGGCACGGAGAAGGGCGGAGAAGGUGGUGCAAAUCUGGGUGAACGUAAGUGUGGGAGAAAGAAGUUGGAAGAACUCGUACCUAGUAGUCUCCAAUUUCUCUGUAAAAUAAGAAGGGGGGUCGUGAUUUGAAGAAAAUAAUAAAGAUUUGAAAUACGUGCUUAAGAGGAGGCAGCUAGAAGGCAGGCUUUGUGAGGAUAGGCCCUUUUUGUCUUUUUACACCUGGAUCCUCAGCACCUAGAAUAGUGCUGGAUGAAUAAAGGAGUGUUGUUUGGGUUAUUAAUUACAAUAUAACAACUCAAGUAGGCGGAAUGACACUUAGUGGCUUUAAACAACAACAGCGUACUAUUUGUUGUAUUUCUAUAAGGUGACCCGGUGGUCCUCUGGCUUCACGUGCUGACAACUGGGGUGCUGCAGGGUACUGGCUGAGAGUUGCCUCAGUCACUGGCUGGCAACGGAUGAAACCGCUGGCUGGCAGCUCUGCUGAGGCUGUUGGCUGAGCCCUUUGGGUCCCUCCCUGUGGGCCUUUUCAUGUGGCUGUGUGGCCUCCUCGGAAUGGAGGCUGGCUUCCAGAAAGGAGAGUUCCAAGUGGCAGAGGCCUUCUUGCAGCCGUCUUGAUGUUGAGCACAAGGACCACAUGGAGAAGAGACCUGGCAGGAGGAAGCCUCCCAACCUCUGGCUACCACAGAGGUCUUCUGUAGGAAACAGAAAUAAACGUCUGGAUUGUUAAGUCGCUGUUUUUGGUUGGUUAUAUUUUUCUAUUAUAUGCAGUUAAACCUAAUCCUAACUAGUGCAAUCGAUGAACAAGAAGAACUCGUGGCUUCACUAAAGCCAAAAAAAGCAAUGUGGCUGCAUUAGUGUUUCUCAUUUCCAUCAAACGGGUGUCCUCU